rnacentral:snoRNA from 1 species
GUGCCCUUUUAAAGUUGACGCAGUGCUUUAAGAGGCUAACACAGAAGGGUAAAGUAAGUCUCCAUAAAACCCAGAGAAGAGAUUUUUUAAAAAAACUCCUCUUUGGAUCCUGUCUGGAGUCACAGCU